GUUGUUUAACAUGAGGCAGAAGACCGUUGGUAUGAAAAAAAAAAAGCUACCACGUCGCUUCCUCUUCUGACGUGGCAAGAGGGUCUAUCCUGAGGAGGCUGAGCUCUCACGGGACACUCACGAUGGUAAUGACAGAGGAUCGGAGCCUCAAAGAAACCACAAAAUCAGUUCUGCCCCAUCUCCUGGCCUGCGAGCAAAGGGCCACUGCCAGGCCUUGUGGCAGUCAAAGCCAGCUUGGUGGUGACCACUGAUUGCCCCGGGUCCGAGCUGAGCAAGCGCUGCUGUCUGUUGCCUGUACGAGUCACUAACACAAAGCAAAGAGGAUGUGCUGGAGCAUAUGGAGCCAGAGGAGGUCGUUUCUGGAGUCCUUGUAAACCACUUCAGAGCCUUCGGCGUUUCCUGCUCCUCUAACGGGGCUGUUUGAAAAUCCUGGUCGCUGUGGAUAGUGAAAGUAAAACAUCACCGAGUGUUCUAUCAGACGCCAGCCAGCUCCAAAGGAUCCCUGCAAAAGGGAUCCUCAGCGGCAUGAAAUCUCUGCAGCAUCGGUGAAACUAUCACUAGCGUAUUACGCCCCAGUUCUGCUGUCCACACUUCAUGAAGAACGAUCCCAGGCUGGAGUUGCUGGUUCCAGGGCCUCUGUUAUGCAGGAGCUGAGACUAGAUGACAGCAGCCCCUUCUUGUCUCUUAAAACCUCUGCAGCGUCUGAGAC